GAUGAACGCUAGCUACAGGCUUAACACAUGCAAGUCGAGGGGAAACGACAUCGAAAGCUUGCUUUUGAUGGGCGUCGACCGGCGCACGGGUGAGUAACGCGUAUCCAACCUGCCCAUCACUUGGGAAUAACCUUGCGAAAGUAAGACUAAUACCCAAUGACAUCCCACGAAGACAUCUGAAUGGGAUUAAAGAUUUAUCGGUGAUGGAUGGGGAUGCGUCUGAUUAGCUUGUUGGCGGGGUAACGGCCCACCAAGGCAACGAUCAGUAGGGGUUCUGAGAGGAAGGUCCCCCACAUUGGAACUGAGACACGGUCCAAACUCCUACGGGAGGCAGCAGUGAGGAAUAGUGGUCAAUGGGCGAGAGCCUGAACCAGCCAAGUAGCGUGCAGGAUGACGGCCCUAUGGGUUGUAAACUGCUUUUAUAAGGGAAUAAAGUGGGUCUCGUGAGACUUUUUGCAUGUACCUCAUGAAUAAGGACCGGCUAAUUCCGUG
rnacentral:rRNA from 1 species